GUUCAUUUAACCCCUUAAGGACCAAACUUCUGGAAUAAAAGGGAAUCAUGACAUGUCACACAUGUCAUGUGUCCUUAAGGGGUUAAAGGGAAUUUCCAGUUGUUGCUCAAAAAUAGUUGAAUUAACUGAAAUCACAAUUUUUAACUCAUUUUAAAUUCUUGACAGUUCAUACUGUUGUUCUGAGUCCUUUUCUCUCACGGUAAAAGUGUGGUCUAACCUUAAUUAUAGUUCUAUUGGGUUUUCACAAACAGCCCAAUAUGAAGUGAUUGUUCACUCAUUGUAUUGUAGCAUUGUGCUUGCAUCCACUAGGUGAUUGUGGAUAUAAACCCUAGGUGAGAGUUGAGGUGGUUCUGUAUCAGGCAGACAGUGUGGUGAGGAGGUUGUGUAUCAGGCAGACAGUGUGGUGAGGUGGUUGUGUAUCAGGCAGACAGUGUGGUGAGGAGGUUGUGUAUCAGGCAGACAGUGUGGUGAGGUGGUUGUGUAUCAG